rnacentral:rRNA from 1 species
UACGUAGGGUGCGAGCGUUAAUCGGAAUUACUGGGCGUAAAGCGUGCGCAGGCGGUUUUGUAAGACCGAUGUGAAAUCCCCGGGCUUAACCUGGGAACUGCAUUGGUGACUGCAAGGCUAGAGUGCGUCAGAGGGGGGUGGAAUUCCGCGUGUAGCAGUGAAAUGCGUAGAGAUGCGGAGGAACACCGAUGGCGAAGGCAGCCCCCUGGGAUGACACUGACGCUCAUGCACGAAAGCGUGGGGAGCAAACAGGAUUAGAUACCCUGGUAGUCCACGCCCUAAACGAUGUCAACUAGUUGUCGGGGAUUCAUUUCCUUGGUAACGCAGCUAACGCGUGAAGUUGACCGCCUGGGGAGUACGGCCGCAAGGUUAAA